rnacentral:rRNA from 1 species
GACGAACGCUGGCGGCGUGCUUAACACAUGCAAGUCGAACGGAAAGGCCCUGCUUUUGUGGGGUGCUCGAGUGGCGAACGGGUGAGUAACACGUGAGUAACCUGCCCUUGACUUUGGGAUAACUUCAGGAAACUGGGGCUAAUACCGGAUAGGAGCUCCUGCUGCAUGGUGGGGGUUGGAAAGUUUCGGCGGUUGGGAUGGACUCGCGGCUUAUCAGCUUGUUGGUGGGGUAGUGGCUUACCAAGGCUUUGACGGGUAACCGGCCUGAGAGGGUGACCGGCCACAUUGGGACUGAGAUACGGCCCAGACUCCUACGGGAGGCAGCAGUGGGGAAUAUUGCACAAUGGGCGGAAGCCUGAUGCAGCAACGCCGCGUGCGGGAUGACGGCCUUCGGGUUGUAAACCGCUUUCGCCUGUGACGAAGCGUGAGUGACGGUAAUGGGUAAAGAAGCACCGGCUAACUACGUG